rnacentral:rRNA from 1 species
UACGAAGGAUCCAAGCGUUGUCCGGAUUUACUGGGUUUAAAGGGUGCGUAGGCGGAUUAUUAAGUCAGCGGUGAAAGCUUGCAGCUUAACUGUAAAAUUGCCAUUGAAACUGAUAAUCUCGAAUAUGGUUGAGGUGGUUGGAAUGUAUCAUGUAGCGGUGAAAUGCUUAGAUAUGAUACAGAACACCGAUUGCGAAGGCAGAUCACUAAACCAUUAUUGACGCUGAGGCACGAAAGCGUGGGGAUCAAACAGG